AACCGUUCUCAAAAACUGAAACCGUUAAAAUUUAAAACGGUUUCGAUCCCAGGUAGRUAUCUAGAAGCUUAAAAGCUCCAGGUUGGUGGAGACGAUACUCGGGCAGUAGGAGGCUGCAGAGCUCGUCAGACAAGCGAAAGAUGGACGG